GCGCGGUGAGGCGGCCGCCGGCCUUUGUGCGGCGGCGGAGGCGGCAUUGGCCCACAUCUAUCCCCAAGCUUUUGAAAUAUUCCUCCCAGCAUCAGAACGAAGUGUGGUAGGACCAAGACCUUGGAAUGGAGGAGCUGGUCCCAGAAUGGGUCUGUUUGGAUGUCAGAGCAGAAUAACUUCUCUGUGGGCUUGACUGCCUUUUGGUGGUGCUGGAGAUCAAACCCAGAGCCUCCAAGACUCACUCUCCCGUCCGCCCGCCAAGAUGCCACCUCAUCCGUCAAGGGGCUGAUUUUGACUAGCUGGUUCAGUGCUGUCAUUUACAGAACCCUUGUGUGUGACUUUCAGUCAGUUCCCUCCUUCCAGCACCCCGGAAAAUUGGGCACAGUAGAAAAUGUAAUCUCAGCAGUUGAUAGGCAAGCGGAUCAGAAGCUCGGAAUCACCUUCGGCUACACAAGGAGUUAGAGGCCAGCCUGGGCUUCAUGAAACCCGGUCCCAAGAAUCUAGGAGAAGAACAAAACAAAACAAAACCCAAACCUGUUCUCUCCGUUCUGUUCACUUUAGUCCCUCAGUCCUCAGAGUCUCCCCGACUCUGAACCCCUUCCAGGCACUGUCCAUUUCCUGAAGAAAAGCUGAACAUGUUUCCUGUCU
ensembl:antisense 1700093J21Rik RIKEN cDNA 1700093J21 gene